rnacentral:rRNA from 1 species
UACGGAGGGUGCAAGCGUUAAUCGGAAUUACUGGGCGUAAAGCGCACGCAGGUGGCUGAGUCAGUCGAUUGUGAAAGCCCUGGGCUUAACCUGGGAAUUGCAGUCGAUACUACUCGGCUCGAGUAUGGGAGAGGGCAGUGGAAUUCCCGGUGUAGCGGUGAAAUGCGCAGAUAUCGGGAGGAACACCAAUUGCGAAGGCAGCUCGCUGGGACGUUACUGACGCUGAGACGCGAAAGCGUGGGGAGCAAACAGG